GACGAACGCUGGCGGCGUGCUUAACACAUGCAAGUCGAACGGUAAGGCUCCAGCUUGCUGGGGUACACGAGUGGCGAACGGGUGAGUAACACGUGGGUGACCUGCCCUGCACUUCGGGAUAAGCCUGGGAAACUGGGUCUAAUACCGGAUAGGACCAUGGUGUGGAUACUGUGGUGGAAAGUUUUUUCGGUGUGGGAUGGGCCCGCGGCCUAUCAGCUUGUUGGUGGGGUAAUGGCCUACCAAGGCGGCGACGGGUAGCCGGCCUGAGAGGGUGGACGGCCACAUUGGGACUGAGACACGGCCCAGACUCCUACGGGAGGCAGCAGUGGGGAAUAUUGCACAAUGGGCGGAAGCCUGAUGCAGCGACGCCGCGUGGGGGAUGACGGCCUUCGGGUUGUAAACUCCUUUCACCAUCGACGAAGGGUUUCUGACGGUAGAUGGAGAAGAAGCACGGCUAACUACGUG
rnacentral:rRNA from 1 species